UGUUUUAUUUUUAAUUAACCAAGAGUAAUGAUGUAUAAAACAACCCUAGAGUUAGUAAGUAAACAAAGCAAAACCAAAGCAAGAGAAAUGAUAUAUAAAACAACCCCAGAGUUUCCAACUGGCACAGGAGUACGAUACGGAGACGCGAUAUCCCCAAAGCUAUUUACAGCAACACUAGAAGAAAUCUUCUGUCAACUAGACUGGACCAACAAAGGAUUAAAAAUAGAUGGAGAAUAUCUUAAUCUUCAAUGGAACAAAAUAUGCUGGGAAUAACCUUGGAAUAACCAAGAAAGACCAUAAAAGGAAAGAGUGAAUACGACAAAAGACCCAGGUAAUAGACGUCAUCUACAGAAUCAUAUCCUUCAAAUGGCAAUGAGCAGGAUACCUGGCAAUAAGGACGAACAACAGAUUAUGGACCACAAAAAUUACCGCAUGGUACCCACAAGGAAUUAAGAGACCUAGAAGUAGACUGAACCUGAGAUGGGACCAUAAUAUUAGGAAAUUAGCAAGGAUAAAUUGGGUCUACAUAGCCAACAAUAGACAAAGAAUGAUGAUGAGACGAUAAGUUUUAGCUUUUAACCAACUGAAAACUGAAGUAGAUAAAACAUGGAUAAAACCAGGAUAAACCUAUAUAUUCUUAAUCUAAUGAUAAAAUCACGAACAAUAUUCAGUAUUCAUUAUUGUCAAUGUUGGAUUGGUUACUCAUUUGAGAUUUUUAAAAUAAGGAACAUCACAAGAGAAACGAUUGGAUAUAGAUUGGAAAAUUUUACCGAAGAGGAAUUUGAAACCAUGAAUAAGACAAUUCAACAUGCGAAGACAAAAUAUGAAAGAUUCAAAAAAUCAAUUAAAAUAUAAGUUUGCUUUUCCU